rnacentral:rRNA from 1 species
AGCGAACGCUGGCGGCAGGCCUAACACAUGCAAGUCGAACGAACUCUUCGGAGUUAGUGGCGGACGGGUGAGUAACACGUGGGAACGUGCCUUUAGGUUCGGAAUAACUCAGGGAAACUUGUGCUAAUACCGAAUGUGCCCUUCGGGGGAAAGAUUUAUCGCCUUUAGAGCGGCCCGGGUCUGAUUAGCUAGUUGGUGAGGUAAAGGCUCACCAAGGCGACGAUCAGUAGCUGGUCUGAGAGGAUGAUCAGCCACAUUGGGACUGAGACACGGCCCAAACUCCUACGGGAGGCAGCAGUGGGGAAUCUUGCGCAAUGGGCGAAAGCCUGACGCAGCCAUGCCGCGUGAAUGAUGAAGGUCUUAGGAUUGUAAAAUUCUUUCACCGGGGACGAUAAUGACGGUACCCGGAGAAGAAGCCCCGGCUAACUUCGUG